GACGAACGCUGGCGGCGUGCUUAACACAUGCGAGUCGAACGGAAAGGCCCUGCUUUUGUGGGGUGCUCGAGUGGCGAACGGGUGAGUAACACGUGAGUAACCUGCCCUUGACUUUGGGAUAACUUCAGGAAACUGGGGCUAAUACCGGAUAGGAGCUCCUGCUGCAUGGUGGGGGUUGGAAAGUUUCGGCGGUUGGGGAUGGACUCGCGGCUUAUCAGCUUGUUGGUGGGGUAGUGGCUUACCAAGGCUUUGACGGGUAGCCGGCCUGAGAGGGUGACCGGCCACAUUGGGACUGAGAUACGGCACAGACUCCUCCGGGAGGCAGCAGUGGGGAAUAUUGCACAAUGGGCGGAAGCCUGAUGCAGCAACGCGGCGUGCGGGAUGACGGCCUUCGGGUUGUAAACCGCUUUCGCCUGUGACGAAGCGUGAGUGACGGUAAUGGGUAAAGAAGCACCGGCUAACUACGUG
rnacentral:rRNA from 1 species